ACUCCCAACCCAUGUGAACAUACCUACUGUUGCUUCGGCGGGAUUGCCCCGGGCGCCUCGUGUGCCCCGGAUCAGGCGCCCGCCUAGGAAACUUAACUCUUGUUUUAUUUUGGAAUCUUCUGAGUAGUUUUUACAAAUAAAUAAAAACUUUCAACAACGGAUCUCUUGGUUCUGGCAUCGAUGAAGAACGCAGCGAAAUGCGAUAAGUAAUGUGAAUUGCAGAAUUCAGUGAAUCAUCGAAUCUUUGAACGCACAUUGCGCCCGCCAGUAUUCUGGCGGGCAUGCCUGUCUGAGCGUCAUUUCAACCCUCAUGCCCCUAGGGCGUGGUGUUGGGGAUCGGCCAAAGCCCGCGAGGGACGGCCGGCCCCUAAAUCUAGUGGCGGACCCGUCGUGGCCUCCUCUGCGAAGUAGUGAUAUUCCGCAUCGGAGAGCGACGAGCCCCUGCCGUUAAACCCCCAACUUUCCAAGGUUGACCUCAGAUCAGGUAGGAAUACCCGCUGAACUUAAGCAUAUCAAUAAGCGGAGGAA
rnacentral:rRNA from 1 species